GACGGAGGGCGCGAGCGUUGUUCGGAAUCACUGGGCGUAAAGCGCGCGCAGGCGGGUGCGGAAGUCGGGGGGGAACGGCAGGGGCUCAACCCCGGAUCGGUCUCUCGAUACUCCGCGCCUAGGGACCGGUAGAGGCCAGUAGAAUUCCCGGAGUAGCGGUGGAAUGCGUAGAUAUCGGGAAGAACACCAGAGGCGAAGGCGACUGGCUGGGCCGGAUCCGACGCUCAGGCGCGAAAGCGUGGGGAGCAAACAGG
rnacentral:misc_RNA from 1 species